CGCGCAAACCGGGGCGUUAGCGGUGCCCUGUACCUUCAAUCCGCUGUAGGAGGGGUCAUAUCCCGGCCGAGGGUCGCUGACUUUGGAAAAGCGCCUGUUAAGUGGUGUUGACGUUCGGGUCCCGCGCAACAGAUCUCUGUGAACCGUGUCAGGUCAGGAAUGAAGCAGCACUAAGCAGAAUCUUCUGUGUGCCGCGGGAGUGCCUGGGCAGAGCCGGCUGGCAGGAAAGCGUCCGGGGAAGGCAUUCGAAGC
rnacentral:SRP_RNA from 1 species